rnacentral:tRNA from 1 species
GGAGAGGUGCCGGAGUGGUUGAACGGGGCGGUCUCGAAAACCGUUAUAGUCUUUUGGCUAUCGAGGGUUCGAAUCCCUCCUUCUCCG